rnacentral:rRNA from 1 species
CAGCCGCCACGGUAAUACGUAGGGGGCAAGCGUUGUCCGGAAUCAUUGGGCGUAAAGCGCGUGUAGGCGGCUCGAUAAGUCUGCUGUGAAAGUCCAGGGCUCAACCCUGGGAUGCCGGUGGAUACUGUCGAGCUCGAGUCCGGAAGAGGCGAGUGGAAUUCCUGGUGUAGCGGUGAAAUGCGCAGAUAUCAGGAGGAACACCAAUGGCGAAGGCAGCUCGCUGGGACGUGACUGACGCUGAGACGCGAAAGCGUGGGGAGCAAACAGGAUUAGAUACCCCAGUAGUCCCUGUCUCUUAUAC